GACAGAGGGUGCAAACGUUGUUCGGAAUUACUGGGCGUAAAGCGUGCGCAGGCGGUGAUGUAAGACAGGUGUGAAACUCCCCGGGCUUAACCUGGGAACUGCAUUUGUGACUGCAUCGCUGGAGUGCGGGCAGAGGGGGGAUGGAAUUCCGCGUGUAGCAGUGAAAUGCGUAGAUAUGCGGAGGAACACCGAUGGCGAAGGCGGCUUCCUGGCCCGACAUUGACGCUCAUGUACGAGAGCGUGGGGGAGCAAACAGG
rnacentral:rRNA from 1 species